CCUACGGGGGGCAGCAGUGGGGAAUAUUGGACAAUGGGCGAAAGCCUGAUCCAGCAAUACCGCGCGUGUGAAGAAGGCCUUCGGGUUGUAAAGCACUUUAAGUUGGGAAGAAAAAGCUUCACCUAAUACGUGGAGCCUUGACGGUACCGACAGAAUAAGCACCGGCUAACUCUGUGCUAGCAGCCGCGGUAAUACAGAGGGUGCUAGCGUUAAUCGGAUUUACUGGGCGUAAAGCGUGCGUAGGCGGUUUGAUAAGUCGAUUGUGAAAGCCCCGGGCUCAACCUGGGAAUUGCGGUCGAUACUGUCAGACUCGAAAACGGUAGAGGGAGGCGGAACUCCAGGUGUAGCGGUGAAAUGCGUAGAUAUCUGGAAGAACACCGAUGGCGAAGGCAACCUCCUGGGCCUGUUUUGACGCUGAGGCACGAAAGCGUGGGUAGCAAACAGGAUUAGAUACCCUAGUAGUCC
rnacentral:rRNA from 1 species